rfam:Spirochaetes bacterium RBG_16_67_19 RBG_16_scaffold_11445, whole genome shotgun sequence.
GUGAGUGUAGCUCAGGUGGUUAGAGCGCCAGCCUGUGGAGCUGGAUGUCGUGGGUUCAAGUCCCAUCACUCACC